rnacentral:rRNA from 1 species
UACAGGGGGUGCAAACGUUGCUCGGAAUUAUUGGGCGUAAAGAGCUUGUAGGCGGUCUGUCGCGUCCGCUGUGAAAACUCGGGGCUUAACCCCGAGCCUGCAGUGGAUACGGGCAGACUAGAGGUAGGUAGGGGAGAAUGGAAUUCCCGGUGUAGCGGUGAAAUGCGCAGAUAUCGGGAGGAACACCGGUGGCGAAGGCGGCGACCUGGGCCAAUAUUGACGCUGAGGUGCGAAAGCGUGGGGAGCAAACAGG